rnacentral:rRNA from 1 species
UGGGGGAAUUUUGGACAAUGGGCGAAAGCCUGAUCCAGCAAUGCCGCGUGUGUGAAGAAGGCCUUCGGGUUGUAAAGCACUUUUGUCCGGAAAGAAAUCCUUGGCUCUAAUACAGUCGGGGGAUGACGGUACCGGAAGAAUAAGCACCGGCUAACUACGUGCCAGCAGCCGCGGUAAUACGUAGGGUGCAAGCGUUAAUCGGAAUUACUGGGCGUAAAGCGUGCGCAGGCGGUUUGCUAAGACCGAUGUGAAAUCCCCGGGCUCAACCUGGGAACUGCAUUGGUGACUGGCAGGCUAGAGUAUGGCAGAGGGGGGUAGAAUUCCACGUGUAGCAGUGAAAUGCGUAGAGAUGUGGAGGAAUACCGAUGGCGAAGGCAGCCCCCCUGGGGCCAAAUACUGACGCUCAUGCACGAAAGCGUGGGGGAGCAAACAGGAUUAGAUACCCUGGUAGUCCACGCCCUAAACGAUGUCAACUAGUUGUUGGGGAUUCAUUUCCUAGUAACGUAGCUAACGCGUGAAGUUGACCGCCUGGGGAGUACGGUCGCAAGAUUAAAACUCAAAGGAAUUGACGGGGUCAUAGCUGUUUCCU